GAAAUGGCAAGUAUUGAGAAUUUCCUCCAGUUCCAGGACGCCGUGCCUUGUAAGAUCCGUGCCAAGCGGGGAUGCACCACCCAUCCGCGCAGCAUCGCCGAGAGGGUGAGGAGAACAAAGAUCAGUGAGCGAAUCCGAAAGCUGCAAGAACUCGUUCCGAACAUGGACAA